GUUUGCUGACGACAUGGCAGCGAAUUCAAAAGUACGAAGGCGUGUAACCAUGGCAACAGGUGUUUUAAAGUCAGGCUAGCUCUUUCUGCCGUCAGUUUGCUCGCUCAUCCGCCAUGUUUACAAACAAAUAGUCUUUUCAUAGGAAGAUCAAGUUUAUAUUGUAUGCUAAAGGUGUAACUGGUGUCUUUAGCUAGCCCGUUUUCUUCCUCUCCAUGCACCUUGAAGCAGACCAAGUUGCACCGGAGUCUGUACUGUCAUCAUCUGCAGGACUCCGGUACCUGAUCGUAGCCCUGACCCUGAGACCUCUGACCCCACCUGCCAGGUCAUUCUCAUGCCACCUUAACCUGCUGAAACCAGAGAGCGCUGCGGGGGAGAGGAAGUGAGCCUGCAUCAAACGGUUAAAUCCAGACGCAUCUACAGAUCCUGGAAACGAGCCGUCCACCAACCAGUUGCUGGUGAGACAACAGGGGAGGCCCCCAGCCGUGACCAACACAUGGUGCGCCAACACACACGCCAGGACCCAUCUGAUUUUACAAAAAGUGUUGAACAGCGGCGGUCCCUGCAGCCCUGCCUACCUGACCAGGAAAGUUCCUCGUGAUGAAGUGGUGAUUGGUCCAAUCCCAUUUCUCAACCAAUGACGUCUGGAGCUGAGCAUUAGCCCCGCCCACGACUCUCCACUGAUCAGCAGAUCAAGUGACCGUUAUAAAACGCAGAGAUGAGCAUCCAGGAAAUCUCCCCCAGGAAAACAGGCAGUCAGACAACUGGGCCCAACAAGGAGCCAGGAGGCCCCGGAGCAACAGCUGGCAGGUAGGAAGAGAGGGAGGGAGAGAAGGAAGGAGAGAGGAAAAGAGGGGCGGCGUACAGACGACAGGCUGAAGAAAGGUAAGAGGGAAGGACACGAACUGCAGCACGGAAACUUUUUAACAUGUUGACUGCAGGUUCAGCUUCUAAUAUUUCAGAUCUAAGAGAAAGACUGAGGAUGAUAAAAGACUGAUAACAUGUGAUGCUAAUGUUGAGUCCAUGAAAAGACAGAUAAGAGAUUAUCAAAGGUACAUUUAUGCAUAAAAUGAUAAUUUGGCACACAUGAAACUCUCGGUCCAUUUUUCCCUGCUGAGUCUCUCUUUCUCUCUCUCUCAGACACACACACACACACACACACACACACACACACACACACAGUAGGUCUCGGUUAACCAAAGUCAAUAGCCUGCAGACAGACAAGUGUGAUUACAGGAGAUACUAUUGCUCUCACUAUUUAGCAGCUUCACUUUCUGUGUGUGAGGGGAAAAUGAAGGGUGUUAAAAAGAGACGACAGAAAAGGCCAGAGGUUUCAUCUCGAAUCGUCUCUUCGCAUAACUGACAUGCGGCGCUCUUUGAAUCACUUUUUUAUCAGUUUUUGGUUUUUAAAUGUCUCCCUCUAUUAAUCUGCAUUUUGAUUCAUGAUAUCGAUUCAUUUUUAUAUUCAGCUACAAAAAAGAAAAAGCAGAUUAAACUUGCAUCUUAUUUUGGCUUCAGUAGUAAGUUGAGGUUUUACUUUCCAUUCCGCACAACUUCAUUCCCUUAAUAUUAUGACUUUCUGUAGUUUUGACUUUUUCUCUCAUAAUUUUUACUUUUUUAUUUUCUUAUAAUCCAUUGUAGAAAACCAACCUUUACUGCUCUGAUAUUUAGGAAGAUGAAGCGACUUAAGCAGAGUUGUGGUAACUGGUUAUAUUUACUCAGUUACAUUUGCUUCAGUAA